GUUUCACUACCCUGAUGAUCUAUACUGUAGUCAUAUGUUGUGCCCCUCUAGACAUGAGGAAGACUAAACACAGAACAGAAACCAAAGACGGGAAAGGAGCACAUCAUUCUGGCACAAAGAAAAAGGAGAAACCACAUUCAAGCCAGAGUAGCCACACCAAUGGUGUGGCAACAGAGUCUAAACCUGCUGUCAAAAGGAACCAAAAGACUGGAAAGAAAGCAGGUGGGAAGAGCGGGAAAGAGGGGUCAAAGAAAAGUCACUAACUCCGCAGCGCACUCCCCACCUUGUGCUAUGAGCCCACCCAUGGGACCCCACUAUCUGGACGUGCCCUACAGGUCAGACCGGAGGCUCUACCUAGGCAAGUCCUCCACCCUCCCUGCUCAGGAGAACACAACCCCGGGCCGAUGCGCAGACAUGGCCACCCUCCCUGGUGGAGCGACACCAACCCAUACCCAUCACCAGCGCUGGAGCAACCCAGGUGACAGCAGUCCUGCCUGGGGGACAAUCCAGCACACCUGCCGCAGGCCGCUCACAGAGUAUCGCAUGUACUCCCAUGACUUCACCUCAUCCCCUGUGAAGGAGUGGGAAGAAAGACAGCAGCAGGAAGCGGCCCAGGAUGACAGCGUGAAACAGGACUGUAAACCCCCGAUUUCCCCAAACAUACCGCGAUCUAUGACAGAUGU
rnacentral:lncRNA from 1 species